rnacentral:sRNA from 1 species
UCCAGUCCGCGGAAAGAGAUUGUGUCGC